rnacentral:rRNA from 1 species
AGUAACACGUGGAUAACCUACCUAUAAGACUGGGAUAACUUCGGGAAACCGGAGCUAAUACCGGAUAAUAUUUUGAACCACAUGGUUCAAAAGUGAAAGACGGUCUUGCUGUCACUUAUAGAUGGAUCCGCGCUGCAUUAGCUAGUUGGUAAGGUAACGGCUUACCAAGGCAACGAUGCAUAGCCGACCUGAGAGGGUGAUCGGCCACACUGGAACUGAGACACGGUCCAG